AGACCCGAAACCCGGUGAUCUAGCCAUGGGCAGGUUGAAGGUUGGGUAACACUAACUGGAGGACCGAACCGACUAAUGUUGAAAAAUUAGCGGAUGACCUGUGGCUGGGGGUGAAAGGCCAAUCAAACCGGGAGAUAGCUGGUUCUCCCCGAAAGCUAUUUAGGUAGCGCCUCGUGAACUCAUCUCCGGGGGUAGAGCACUGUUUCGGCUAGGGGGCCAUCCCGGCUUACCAACCCGAUGCAAACUGCGAAUACCGGAGAAUGUUAUCACGGGAGACACACGGCGGGUGCUAACGUCCGUCGUGAAGAGGGAAACAACCCAGACCGCCAGCUAAGGUCCCAAAGUCAUGGUUAAGUGGGAAACGAUGUGGGAAGGCCCAGACAGCCAGGAUGUUGGCUUAGAAGCAGCCAUCAUUUAAAGAAAGCGUAAUAGCUCACUGGUCGAGUCGGCCUGCGCGGAAGAUGUAACGGGGCUAAACCAUGCACCGAAGCUGCGGCAGCGAACGUAUCACCCAAGACAACUUUGCGGAGUUGACGAUUGACGGAGCGAAGCGACGUCAAAGCGUUCAUUAAAGUCGAGUUGGCUUAGGGAUACGUUCGUUGGGUAGGGGAGCGUUCUGUAAGCCGUUGAAGGUGGCCUGUGAGGGUUGCUGGAGGUAUCAGAAGUGCGAAUGCUGACAUAAGUAACGAUAAAGCGGGUGAAAAGCCCGCUCGCCGGAAGACCAAGGGUUCCUGUCCAACGUUAAUCGGGGCAGGGUGAGUCGACCCCUAAGGCGAGGCCGAAAGGCGUAGUCGAUGGGAAACGGGUUAAUAUUCCCGUACUUGGUGUUACUGCGAAGGGGGGACGGAGAAGGCUAUGUUGGCCGGGCGACGGUUGUCCCGGUUUAAGCGUGUAGGUGUGUGUUCCAGGUAAAUCCGGUUCACUUUAACACUGAGGCGUGAUGACGAGGCACUACGGUGCUGAAGUAACAAAUGCCCUGCUUCCAGGAAAAGCCUCUAAGCAUCAGGUAACAUCAAAUCGUACCCCAAACCGACACAGGUGGUCAGGUAGAGAAUACCAAGGCGCUUGAGAGAACUCGGGUGAAGGAACUAGGCAAAAUGGUGCCGUAA
rnacentral:rRNA from 1 species